UACAGAGGGGGCAAGCGUUGUUCGGAAUUACUGGGCGUAAAGGGCUCGUAGGUGGCCAACUAAGUCAGACGUGAAAUCCCUCAGCUUAACUGGGGAACUGCGUCUGAUACUGGAUGGCUUGAGUUUGGGAGAGGGAUGCGGAAUUCCAGGUGUAGCGGUGAAAUGCGUAGAUAUCUGGAGGAACACCGGUGGCGAAGGCGGCAUCCUGGACCAACACUGACACUGAGGAGCGAAAGCCAGGGGAGCAAACGGG
rnacentral:rRNA from 1 species